AAAGAAUUUGAGUUUAUAUUCACUAGGUGAAGGCAGAGGAAAGCUCUUAGAAUCUGCUCUGGCAGCGGUCAACAAAAGACAGAGGUAGAAGGUGAAUAGUCCUACAGAGAGAGUAUGUCUUCCCGCUCUUUUUUCCUUAUUUGGUGAGGCUAUGGAAGGUUCCGGAAUCUGGCUCUGCGCAGGCGCAUAACCCAAGUGUGAUGCACAGAGACCACGAAGAAGACGCAAGGUGCAGCAGGCGUCCAACAAAAACAGGGCCUUUUUCGUGGUGGCACCGACACUGUGGAAUGCCCUUUAACAGAGACCUAUAUGCACACCGCAUUAUACUCUUUAAGCAUUCGAUUCUAUCUCUCGUGUCAACCUGUGGGAGAAAUUGGAAGCCUCCUCCACUGACCAGCGUCUGCUAUAUUUAAUUCGCACCCUGCAUCCAGACACG